rnacentral:rRNA from 1 species
AUGGAGACGGGGUCUGUGGCUGCAGCUACGGUGGAGGAGGGGUCGACGGCGGGGCCGCAGGCGGGGGGCGCCGAGAUCGCCUUCUUCGACCUGGAGACGUCGGUGCCGCAGCGGGCCGGGCAGGGCUACGCGCUGCUCGAGUUCGGGGCCAUCCUGGUGUGCCCGCGCCGCCUCGUCGAGGUCGCCUGCUACGCCACGCUCGUGCGCCCCGCCGACCUCGGCGUCGUCUCCGCCGCCUCCGUGCGCUGCAACGGCAUCACGCGUGACGCCGUCGCUGCCGCGCCGUGCUUCCGCGACGUCGCCGACAAGGUCUACGACCUCCUGCACGGGAGGGUUUGGGCCGGGCACAACAUCGUGAGGUUUGAUGUGCCAAGAAUAAGGGAAGCGUUCACCGAGAUUGGCCGGACACCUCCGGAGCCGAAAGGGAUGAUCGACACACUACCUCUGCUUACCCAGCGGUUUGGGAGGAGAGCAGGAGACAUGAAGAUGGCAAGCUUGGCAAAUUACUUCGGUCUAGGGAGGCAAAAGCACAGGAGCCUGGAUGAUGUCAGGAUGAACCUUGAAGUUCUCAAAUAUUGUGCUACAGUGUUGUUCCUGGAGGCAAGUUUUCCGGAAGUGCUUAUUGUUGAGAACCUUGUGGGUGCAAUUACAAGAAGCAAAACUGAUGGAGCUACUUCUCCUGAGGUGAAGAAUCUUGAAGCAAACACAUCACCUGAUUCUUUGAAACGACAACGUACUGUUUCUCAAGUCAAUGGUUUGACUACAGAUCAAGAUAAUCAAGAAUCAGUUGAUCCUGCAAUGAACGGGGAAUCCAGUGACUUGAUAUCCCACAUGGAGGAGAUGAAAUUAGAUGCUUCUGUGCAGAUGGAUGCGAGUUUCAGUGGUCAUUCUGGGUUCCUCGAGCCAGAUGAUGUAUCAACUGAGUGCAUCAAGAUUUUUACUACCCCUUCUUACCAAUUUAAUCGGAGAACAUUGAUCAAGCACAAAGAUAGUCCACUACACCUUUGCUGCGCUGGCUUGAAAGUCCAGUUUGGAGUUGGUACAAAGUUCCUAGACACUGCAGGUCGUCCAAAGUUGAACAUGGUGGUUCAUAUCCCUGAGAAUCUAAGCAAAGUUCUAGAAUUCUGUGAUAAUCAGGCCCAGAGAUUUUUUCAAGAGUCUGGUACCACUUCCGAGUGGAGAACCCUGAUAAAGAAGUACGGUUAUGUGAAUCGUCCAACUGUUCGCCUCAACAUCCCUACCACUCCCAGCAGCGGUGCUUCGCCCUACUCGACAGACAUAUACCAGAAAGAGCCCAGCGGCAACAUUCAGAAGCUUGCUUUUAGCAAGGUAGAUGCCGCGGAACUGGACUCCCUGUUUGUUCGGGGGAACAGGCUGGAUGCGUUCUUCUCGCUGGAAAUAUAUGACUACCAGCAAAAUGCUGGCAUCCGGUUGGUCGCAAAGAGGCUGGUUGUACACUCCAAGUAG